GAUGAACGCUGGCGGCGUGCCUAAUACAUGCAAGUCGAGCGAACAGACGAGGAGCUUGCUCCUCUGACGUUAGCGGCGGACGGGUGAGUAACACGUGGAUAACCUACCUAUAAGACUGGGAUAACUUCGGGAAACCGGAGCUAAUACCGGAUAAUAUAUUGAACCGCAUGGUUCAAUAGUGAAAGACGGUUUUGCUGUCAUUUAUAGAUGGAUCCGCGCCGCAUUAGCUAGUUGGUAAGGUAACGGCUUACCAAGGCAACGAUGCGUAGCCGACCUGAGAGGGUGAUCGGCCACACUGGAACUGAGACACGGUCCAGACUCCUACGGGAGGCAGCAGUAGGGAAUCUUCCGCAAUGGGCGAAAGCCUGACGGAGCAACGCCGCGUGAGUGAUGAAGGUCUUCGGAUCGUAAAACUCUGUUAUUAGGGAAGAACAAAUGUGUAAGUAACUAUGCACGUCUUGACGGUACCUAAUCAGAAAGCCACGGCUAACUACGU
rnacentral:rRNA from 1 species